rnacentral:rRNA from 1 species
UCCAGACUCCUACGGGAGGCAGCAGUGGGGAAUAUUGCACAAUGGGGGAAACCCUGAUGCAGCGACGCCGCGUGAGUGAAGAAGUAUUUCGGUAUGUAAAGCUCUCUCAGCAGGGAAGAUAAUGACGGUACCUGACUAAGAAGCCCCGGCUAACUACGUGCCAGCAGCCGCGGUAAUACGUAGGGGGCAAGCGUUAUCCGGAUUUACUGGGUGUAAAGGGUGCGCAGGUGGCAGGGCAAGUCAGAUGUGAAAGCCCGGGGCUCAACCCCGGUAUUGCAUUUGAAACUGUCCGGCUAGAGUGCAGGAGAGGUAAGCGGAAUUCCUAGUGUAGCGGUGAAAUGCGUAGAUAUUAGGAGGAACACCAGUGGCGAAGGCGGCUUACUGGACUGUAACUGACACUGAGGCACGAAAGCGUGGGGAGCAAACAGGAUUAGAUACCCUAGUAU